rnacentral:rRNA from 1 species
UUCGCAAUGCCCGAAAGGGUGACGAUGCGACGCCGCGUGAGCGAAGAAGGCCCUAGGGUUGUAAAGCUCUGUCGAGGGUUAUGAAAUAUAGAUGGGUUAAUACCCCAUUUAUUUGACAAAAGCCCAAAAGGAAGCCACGGCUAACUCUGUGCCAGCAGCCGCGGUAAUACAGAGGUGGCGAGCGUUGUUCGGUAUUAUUGGGCGUAAAGAGCACGUAGGUGGUUUUGUAAGUCAGGUGUGAAAGCCUUCUGUUCAAAGGAAGAACGGCAUCUGAAACUGCAGAUCUUGAGUGUGGGAGGGGAGAGUGGAACUUCUGGUGGAGCGGUGAAAUGCGUAGAUAUCAGAAGGAACGUCGGCGGCGAAAGCGACUCUCUGGCCUAUUACUGACACUGAGUGUGCGAAAGUUAGGGGAGCAAACGGGAUUAGAUACCCCGGUAGUCCUAGCCGUAAACGAUGGGCACUAAGUAGAGGGGUUUU